rnacentral:other from 1 species
UUUACCCUGCCAUGCUCGUGAUCUGAAACAUAGUCCUUGAACCGUAAGCUCGACAAUAAGGAGCCUGAACUUCGCGCGUGGCCGACAGGCCUUCACUGGAAGUCGAAAGCGCGCGAUGGGGCUCAGCUUGUUUCAAAGAAGUUCAAAGGAACUUUUCGACACGGCAUUACGGCGGGGUUUCU